GGAUGUAAGGGUGAUCUGGUGAUCUCCCAUUGAUCACCAGGGUUGAUUCGGCUGAUCUGGGUGGCUAGGCAUCCCAUUCUACCCUCACUGCUCCCUGCACAUCCCUCCCAAAGCUGUGCACUUUAUUUACUCAUUAGAGAGACAGAGAAAUAUAUAGAUGCAUAGAUAGAAAGAAUAACUGUGCCAGGGCUUUUAGCCACUACAAACCAACUCCAGACACAUGUGCCAACUUGUGCAUCUGGCUUUACAU
rnacentral:snRNA from 1 species